UUGAAUUUAUAAAGCAGGAGAAAACCAAAUCAUCCGUUUGAGAUUACAGAGUGCUAGUUGGAGGUUGAAGAGGAGUGAAAGUUGCGGGGCUUCCAGAGAAAUUCCUCAGCAACUAAAGCAGCUUACAUCCCUCGCAUAUGUCAACGUCUCUCACAACAAUCUCACAGGUUCCAUACCACAAGGGUGCCAAUUUAAUACGUUCAAGAGGACUUCAUUUGAGGGAACCCGGAAUUGUGUGGAGAACCAUUGCCAAAGAAAUGUGGAAAUGCUAAGACUCCAACUCCACGCCAUCCUCAAGCAUAGAUGGAGUUGAAUUUGAUUGGAAAUUUGCAUUAGCGGGAUUUGGAAGCGGGUUGUUUGUGGUAGUGGUACUUGCAAACAUCACCAUCACUCAGAAGCGUGAGUUGUUUCUUGAGAUAGUUGGAAUGUUGAUCAGGCUAAUCAAAAGGGAGAGGCUGGGAUGCAGAAAUUGAUGAGCUACUAUGAGGUUCUGGAUUUGAGCCUUUUUAUCUAUAUGGUUUGUUGA
rnacentral:lncRNA from 1 species